UCUAAACCGUGACCUCGAACCCCAAGGACUUCUCUAUACGUGAGUUUGACCUCUGACCCUAAACACUUCUCUAUAGGUGAGUCUGACCUCUAAUCUCCUUCUCUCCCCCCACUCUUCCUCGCUCCAACUCUGCAGGUGGUCAGAUCAGUUUUGAUGUGUUCCCAGAGGGCUGGGACAAGCGUUACUGUCUGGGCCUGGUAGAGAAAGACUCCUAUAAAACCAUACACUUCUUUGGAGACAAAACUAAACCUGGGGGAAACGACUAUGAGAUCUAUGCAGAUCCCAGAACCAUCGGACAUGAAGUCACCUGCCCUGAAGAUACACAACGUAUCUGUCAAGACCUGUUCUUCAACUGACACACCGCAGUAAUCAGAUGUCUGAAGUGCCAAAGAGACGUCCUGCCCGACCAUGUGAUCGUCAGGUCUUUAUGGAAUUCAUCAGGGAGUUCCCUGAUGCAUACAACACCACUUUGGUGACACCCCUGUUUAGUAAACGAAUGGUUUUGACCGCUGGGAACGAUGGAAAAUGAAGCUUCUUCCAACCGUGUCUUUCUGCACGUGAACUUUAUCCACUUCCUGGAACCAUGAAAAACUGCUAUUGGUUAAACUAUAUUGACAUUGUUUGGGGUUUUAGGCUGGGUUUCUGUGUAUCAUUUUCUGGCAUCGGCUGUUGUAAAAGGGCUUUAUAAAUAAAUCUGAUUGAAAACCCCUCCUAAAGUUAA